CCGGGCGCUCGGCGGGACCGCGGGGCCGGGCGCUCGGCGGGUGUGCGGGGCCGGGCGCUCGGCGGGACCGCGGGGCCGGGCGCUCGGCGGGACCGCGGGGCCGGGCGCUCGGCGGAUGCGGCUGCAGGACGGGUCACGUCGCGAUGGGCAGUUUCGUAGUUCGGUAAGAGCGGGAAAUGAGCGGGGGAGCCCAAGCCACACCGAGGCCUGUUUGCAACAGGUUCCGGAUCAGAGGAAUUGGGGGUGGGUGGAGAUGACGUGGCCACGAUAAGGCAAGUGGCUCUACUGAUUUAGUCAUAACGAGCUGCCUCAGUUAAUAAGCAGAAAACCAGGGGAAUCAAACAUACAUGAAAAACAGAUCUGGUGAAAUGUUUUUUUACCAAAUAUUUCAGGUUGUUGGAAUAUUCAGAGUGCUACACCUAGGCAGAAGGGACAAGAAACUGUAAGGACAGUCUGGGCACUCUGGGGGUGCCAGCUUUUGUCAUUGAGGAGUGACAGGCAAGGGAAGGCUGUAUAGUGGAAAAACUGUCAAAUGUGGUAAACGAACAAGGGGUGUCAGGGAGAUGGGAACAGAUUUGAAUCCAGCUUGUGAUGACGUGACGGAUGAAUCCAGGUUUUGUGAUGGAGAAAGGUGAGAGAUCGAACCUACCAUUUCAAGCUGUAUCAAAACUGAUACACUGUAGUUUUUGGUGGUGCCAAAACAAAGAUGGGUGAUACAGGUCAGCCCCAAACGGGCGAGACCAGAAUCUUUAUAAUAGUGUUGUAAAUAUGGAAAACUAUCUUGAUAUAAACAAGGCCAGAGCAGCACUCACUGUCUUCCCAUCUGAUGGAGGCUGGGGUGGAUAUUUCAGAAACACAGAACUGUGAGGGACGGGCAGUCAGAAACGGGAAAGCCCAGCAGGCUUUUUCUGUUCCUGCCGCUGCGAGCAGCACAGGGCGGCAGGCAGAGCGCGAGCAGACUACUCGUCUAACAGGACGCAUUUGACAUAGAAACAAAUGAUAAGUUGAAAAUCAAAAAAGAAAAUUUCUGAAGUCUAAAGGACAGUGGAGUAUAAGUCAGUACUGAGUUUUCAGGAAAGGGUGAAUGUGGCCAAAAACUGCUGAUGCAUUAAAUUACCUGUCCUAUGUAUUAAUAUAAAAUCUCUUCCAGUGAUCUCUAAGUUCAGUAUUCAUGUUGAGGGAAGAGUCAACAUACCGCAGUACAGCAUGAAAGGAUUUUUUCUGAGAGCCUCAGGUUCAAGAUGUCUCCAGGGUGUGUAAACCACUCGUGAUCUCAUUUUUCGUUUAACUGUACAAAUGCUGCAACAGUAUUUCUGCAGUGAAUGCAUCACCACCCAAUAAACUAAUGAAAACAGCAUUACCCUCCGUGUCUCAUGCAGUGAACAACCUCCCUUCAGUUCCACUGGGACUAAGGAACUCGCUAUCCAGGUCGUGUUUCAGGUGGUGACAGAUUGUGCGUUGCACAGUUACUGUAAGCGCAGUCCCUGUUUCUGCUAGUCGGCACAAUCAGCUUCAACAGAGCGCCAGGGUGCCGGGAGCACAAUCAGCUUCAACAGAGCGCCAGGGUGCCGGGAGCACAGUCAGCUUCAACAGAGCGCCAGGGUGCCGGGAGCACAGUCAGCUUCAACAGAGCGCCAGGGUGCCGGGAGCACAGUCAGCUUCAACAGAGCGCCAGGGUGCCGGGAGCACAAUCAGCUUCAACAGAGCGCCAGGGUGCCGGGAGCACAGUCAGCUUCAACAGAGCGCCAGGGUGCCGGGAGCACAGUCAGCUUCAACAGAGCGCCAGGGUGCCGGGAGCACAGUCAGCUUCAACAGAGCGCCAGGGUGCCGGGAGCACAAUCAGCUUCAACAGAGCGCCAGGGUGCCGGGAGCCCCAGCGGCGCUCGCGCCCGCCAGACCGUCAGCGCCUCUGCCCACUGUGUGAAUAACGGAGGCACUGACGGGCUGGAACUUCGCUAACAGUUUAAAUGCUUUUGAAUUAAAGCAAGUAAUGGUGUGAGGAGGAGCCUGUCUGUAUGGAUUACUCUGUUCUUUGGGCACUCAAAGCAGCCCUCCUCCUUACAAGGAAAAUGAAGCAUAAAAAGGCUAUUAAAUAGGACUGGUGAACAUUUUCCUGCUAAAGCAUGUUUUGACAGAAAAUGUUGUUCUUUAUGAGAAAUUUUUCAUUAAAAGAAAAUCUGGAAGACAUUUGGCUGAAAACCAACAUAUCACAAAAGUAGAUGUCCCCCUCUCCUCCAGGCACCAAGCAGGGAUCCCAUGUCCCAUGGCCCUUCUGCGAGGCUCUGCCUCUUAGUCCAGAGCAGACUGCAGCUGGACGUGAGGACUGUACCGCAGCACGAGCCUGCACUGCUGACAAGACCACAAAUCGCAACAACGUGCAGCAACGGCAUUCCCAAACGCACUGGAAUCCGCUGAAUCCGCUCCUAUCCAAUUCACAGCUAUGUGUUCCUUGUCUACCAGCAAAGUAGUACCCGUAGUACCUCUCUAAUGGACUCCGUUUAUCACUUCGAUACCCAACGCUAUCAGCCUGCAUUAGUUUUAUCAAGUUUCACUCCUCGCUACAGCCUUUAGAAAACCUUUGGAAAUAAGGCUGUGUGACUGUGUCUUGAGGCAAGUAAGCCUGUAAAGAACAACUCAGGAAGAAUACAUCUGAAAAAGGAAACUACUAUGCCCAGCAAACCCCAGUUUGUGUUGGUUCUCUCUCCCCUCCCAUCCUCUGUAUUGUUCUCACGCGUUGCCCUCCACAUCUCGUUUUCUUCUCCCAUAACCACUGCUCAAACAGGGUCCCCAAAACAUGCACCACUACCAGUAGCCUGUCUCACUGAAGCCCUAAGCCAUUGUUUAGUUGUCCUACAAUAAUAAACUACAAGUUCCUUUUAAUUCUUUAUCAAUGUAGAUCUCACAGGGCAUUACAGGAAUAGAUAAACACCAUUUUAUCCAUUUUACAAGAGGAAGGGAUCACUUGAGAUACCAUGAUGAGUCACAGGCAUAGCUUGAAUAGCAUCUGUGUUACGUUCUCAUCCCUGAACUCUGGCUCCGUCACCCCACAAAAACAGUGGUACAGCCACCUUUAUUACUUGAGUUUUCCCUAUCAGACUGCAGAAUCUGAUGUCUAUAAAGAACCUAUUACUGAUGUAAAAGAAGAAGAAACUGAAUAUCUCCCAGAGCACUGAAAAAAAUGCCUGAAAACUGACUCAACCAAACAGCAAAACAUUUGGCAUAGAUACCCGCAAGGAAACCAUGGGCACCCCUCAACUCUGCCACCAUGUGCUUUUCAAUUUUCAUUUUGCUAAAUUUUGCUGCUUGGGCACCUUCCAAAUCUGCACAUAAGGUGACUAGCAAACAUGAGUUACAUAAUUUGAUUGUUUCGUGGUUGAGGUUUCUUUGGCGUGUUUGUUUUUUAACUGUUCCCUAAGUCCUAAAGAAUACAAACUGCAGAGAGGCAUGGGAGAGAAAACAAACAAGCAAGGAUUCAGCUGGAGUGCUUUGCCUCAAGUAAGCGGCAGUGCUGUUCCUGGGCAGCCUUGAAGGAAAGCGCACGGCUAUGAAUGAGCAGGGGCUGAGCGAGCCUGGGCCAUGGAACAGGCUUUCAAAAAACGAAAGCGAGGAUAGCAGCCUGUAUGGACAAUUCAGUACCAGAGUGUAACAGCAGACUUAGUUCUGUAUGAGUAACUGGUCUCAGGACAGUAAAAAGAUACAGAGUGAGGCUGUAGGAAGAGUGUUUCACAAGGGCUCAGCCCAAGCCCUGAACAGAGCUUCCUGGGGGACAAUGUACUGGGGACAAUGCGUACGAGGGUGUCAGCAGGAGCUCAGACUUUCCCCCUCCGAGCCUACCCAGCCCGAGUGCUGACGCAGAGUGUCCUCCGGAGAUGUCCCCAGCCUGGGCAGCCCCGUCAGCACCGCCGUGUGUGCUGUCUCCAUGUCAAACUGAGAGGAGAGGUCAGGCUCACCGUCUCUACCAGAGAAAACAUUCCAGAAGCACUCUCAGGAGAAAAAAGAUGAAGCUUAACUUAGAUAUAGAAAUAAAUAUAGGCCAUAGAUACAGGCCAUACUUGCCAUUUGUUUUAAAAUUAGUUCCAGAAGUCACCGACGAACAGCAUUUGCCUCAAAGAGGAUUAUAACCAGCAUGCUUUGCCAGACUCCAGUGUCAGAGGAUGCAGCAGCCUCCAAGAGCCAAAUUCUGAGCUCCGCUAAUUGAAUUCCAUCUUUACAAACUUGUCAGAAACUCCGUAUAUACUGCUGGCAGUGGUAAAAUGCUCAGGUUUCCACCAAGCAGCCCCUCCACGCACAGCCUGCAGCCCCAGCCUUCAGCUGCGCCCUUUUCAAGUUAAUGCUUAUUCCUAUGGGGCGUAAUCUACCUGUUCCAUCCCUGGACUCCCCUCGUUGACACCACCUGCUGACGUGACGGUCUCCCCUCCUCAGCCGAGUGCCCCUGCAGGGUCUGUGCACGCCCGUUCCUCUGCGGGAGGAGACGUGAGCAUUCCCGUGGGAAGCAAAAAUAUUUUGAUGGAAGUUUCUUUCCCAUGGCUGGCUGGAAAAGCUGAAAUUAUCCAUUGCUCUUCCAGUAAAAUUCUCAUUCUGCUUCCUUUUCAUGGCAUAGUUUUGGCUGCUACUUUGAAAUGGAGUCGGUCAAGAAGUGAAACAGCACCAUUUAUGCUGAAGGCUGAAGGCUGGCUGAAGUCACGUAAGAUGUCUUUAUUUUUUGAUUUUUUUUUAAUGUGGAAGGCUAGAAGUCAGCCAUCACCAGCCCUGGAAAGAACCCCAAGGUGGCUGUUUGCAAAAGGAGAGCAGAGAAAAGCCUUGGCCACCUUAGCUAUCGAGUGACAGAACAACAAAAACCCACAAACCUCCAAGCUGUGGGCUCAGGCGCAGGGACGGCCCCGGCCAGGCCAACAGCGGCCCGCGGAGCCAGCCAGCCUCACACGGGCAACGGAGGCUGCAAACAGCGCCUGCGCCCGAACCACGGGAGUCUCCCAGAUACCGACAGUGGCUGCUCCACCAGCUUCCUUUUGAGCUAGGUCACCAAAAAAAGUGCAUGGCUGGGAGCAGGUGUAAGUGCAUUUCUAAAGCGCAAAUGUACGUUGGGCAGAGAGAAGCGGCCAAUCCGACGUGCACAGCCCUGCAAGAACCCACCCCGGGGACGCGCGGCUCUUCCGCGAGGGCGCUGCACGCCUGCAAGAGCGCAGGGGGCGCCCCGAGGGCGCGGCACUGCUGGGCAACGCAGCGCUUCUCCACACCAGCCCUGUCCUGGCGUCCACAGGAAACGCCUCCGCUUUGGUCACUGAGGAGGGCUGGCGGGAGGCUCCUGCUGGCAGCCUGUUGUGCUGGCUUUGUUCUUGGCUUCACAGGACUGUUUUCCCUGUCAUGUUUUGUUCGUAUCAUCAGGGAAGAAAACUGGUGCCAUAAACUAUCCAUCAGAUAAUAAGUUGCCUUUCAAGCCAUAAUUCUCAAGUAUUAUCCAGUGUCCUGGUUUUGUUAAAAACAAGUUUCUCUUUCAGUGAAUUUUGCCUGUCAGCUAAAGCUUCAUAUUAACUGCAUUUUCCUGGAGAACCAGACACAUGUUUUGGUAAACCUGGCAAUGGAAUGCAAACUUAUUGAUAAGCACGAGAGGAUGAACAUCUCGCGAGAGGGGCGACGAGAAACAAGUGACCAAGAAACUGACCAACUGUGUAUAACAUCCCAUUCACGUGAAUACUGCAUAUAAAAGUGGGAGAUCACGAGGAUCUCGUCCCUUUUUCCCUUUUUUCCUUAUGGCCGACGUUAGGAGAGGACCUUGCUAGUCAUCCCUGCGAACUGAGGCCUAGUGACAGACUGAAUCCAGCUCCGGUUGGCUGCAGAGUCCAGUCCAGGACUUCAGGUGCCGGCUCUGCAGUUGCCGAGACUUUCAAGAUUGGUUUUGUAUGUUUUGUAUUAUUUUCUCUACUCUUAAUAUAGCAUUAGUAAAACAUGGUUAAUUUUUCCAA